rnacentral:rRNA from 1 species
GUCUAUGGCCAUACCACCCUGAAUGUGCCUGAUCUCGUCUGAUCUCUGAAGCUAAGCAGGUUUAGGCCUGGUUAGUACUUGGAGGGGAGUCUUAUAAUUCGUUAAGGCCCAGAUA